CAGUUUCGUUUUCCCUUUCCUCUUCUCGAAAUCCUACAUCAACGAAAUCUUAACUCGUUGAUUUGAUCACCAAAACUACCUCGAAUCACCUUGGGCUCUACACGAAAGUUGUAGAUCUCGUCGAGAUCUUUCGAUCCCGACCAAUGUCAUCUCUUUUCAUCCACCAUACACGGAUAAUUUCGCAUCGCAAGGUGUCAGACCUGACAAAGGGAAUCUUCAAUUAGUUCGUGCUCGUUCCACGAAAUCCAAAUUCCUUUGAUCUAUUUCGAGUCAACCGGAGCCAAAUCGAGUUUCAAAACGAUCUCGAAUCGUCAUGACCUCAACACGGAAGUUGUUCCUCUCGUCAAGAUCUUUCAAUUGCCGCAAGUUUCACCUUGUUUCGUUUACCGAGCAAGAAGAAAAUCGUGUUGCAAGAUUCAGAUCUUAUAAGCAUAGUCAACUCAGUCUGGUCAAAGUCAAACUACAGUCAGCAGUACGGUCAGCGGUACGGUCAGCAGUACAGUCAGCGGUACAGUCAGUAGUACAGUCAGCAGUCAACUGUACAGUCAGCAGUCAACUAUACAUUCGUACGGAGAGGCACGUAUUUUGAUUAAGAGAAGUGAACGCGCUACGACUACCAAAAAGGCAAGUGACACUCAAAUCCUACUUAUUUUAAUUAUGCAUUAGUGUUUUGAAACUAGCAUGCAUGGUAGGAUUUUGUUUUCAAAGUAAAGUAUUAUGCUAUGCUUAGCAAACCCUAGUAGUGUGUAGCCACUCCUGAACCUAUUGCUAGGAUACUGUAUUUCUGCUCUGCAACAUCAAAUGCCAAAUGUUGUUUCAUUGUUUCGAUUGUGAUGGUUUGAAAAGUGAAAAUUAACAACCCUUAAUGAAUCACCUGGGUGGAUUGUUUGAGUGGUGGGCGGCUGCUCAGGGCUCCGAUCCCUGGGGAUGGACCAGUGGACGGGUGGGUGCCUGAGAGUGCGCGGUUGAAUAGGGAUUGCCACCCAGGAUUAAAGAGAUUAUUAUGUCGCCCUUGUUUUAGAUAGCUUCCAGUGCAACCACAAUACAUUAUGGGCUCUGUCUUAGCUAAGUACUUAGUGGGAAACCUCGCCUAGGGUACCGCCAGUGGGUGGAGUUUCAGGGUACGGGCGUAUCCGGUAGGUAGAGGGGCUACUAAAGAAAGGCUUCGUGGUGACCUUGUUCUGGCCUUAAUGAAGAUGAAGAAUUUUGGCAAAAAGGCUUGGUUGCGAAUUGUGGGUAAAGAGCGCAACCUCUCGAGAGUUAAACCUAAGAUCUUAGCCGUGUCCUCGGUUAUGGACAAUUUGAGCUUCUAGGCAGGGAAUGUACGGAGGAAUCUCAUCAUCUUUUAUGAAUGUAUUUAAAAUUUUGUAUCAACCUUUGAAAACUCAUGGGAGAUGUAACCAUGUGAUUAUUCUAAAACCCAUGGAGGAUUUAUCCAUGGUGUGAUUUCAUAAUGUCAUUCAGAGAUUUUCAAAAUGUUUUGUUUUAAAUAAAAUGUAGGAUAAAAUUGGCUUUAUGCAAAUUUGCCUAAACUCCACUUGCCAAAUAUCAUGUAGAUAGUCAUGCCCAAAACAUCCACCAUAUAAGUGUCAUUUGCCAGUACAUCAUUGUACUGACCUCCAUU